AUGAUUGUUUCUUACAAACAUUACAGAAGAGGCCAGGAUAGCCACCACCUGCUCCCAUGCUGGUCUGGUGGCUUAUGAAAUGGUGACAUUCUUCUGAAAAUCUGCACUUCCACUGAAAGUUGUUUUGUGCGAGGUAAGAUGAGUUUAUUGAAAGCUGUGCCUGUUGUUUUUGAUCAGCGAUAGCAGUUUCAUACAUGCAAGAAAUCCACCUGAAGAGGAGUUCCCAUUUCCACUUGGAAAGGGAUUGUAGCAGCUGGUCCCGCCCCUUGAUCUCUACUCAUGAAAAAGGUCUUAAAGAUGAACCUACUCACAUACUACUGCACAUCCAGGCUUUCCAUGUGAUAAGGGAUCCCAACUGCAUUACCAGCCUAUACAAUACAGAUGUUUGCACACAUACUUCUCUUUCAGACCCUCAGCCCAAUGCAUGAAGGUAAAGGAGUAGUACUGUUGACUAUUAUCUCACUUUCUCUUCACAUGUUUGGUGAACACUGGGAGGGGAAGGGGGAGGUCUGAGUAGAGCCUUGAUGUUGUAGUCAUUGAGUGAUGAUGAUGUAUAUGUGAAUUCACCCUUCAUUUUGCUUGAUGAGGCUCAUGCAGUUAAAGCUUUGUAUUUCAAAGACUGAGAAUCCCUGAUGUACUCAACUUGAAGACAAAGCUUCAUUUUGAUGUAGGACCCUUAAAGAAUGUUCUUUGAAGUGGGAAGCUUGAAGUGUAUUUCUACUAGGCUGUAAUUACAACCAAGUUCAAAAGAAAGCUCUUCGUAAGUCACACUAUUAUAGAUACUGUGGAUCGCACUGGAGAAAGAGAAAUCUACUUACAAGUUUCCAAAGCCACAGAAGCAGGAAGAGUGUAAUGGCUUGGUCAUUCGGUCAAGGGCAAAAGGGAAUUACAAUUAUCCUCCUCAGAGAAUAAUAGCAAGAGACUGAUGAAGGAUACUAGAAACAGGAAGGGAGAGAAUCAAAGGCCUCCAGCGAAAGGCAAGAAGUGGAAGGGAGACAAAGAAAUGGACAAAGGAUGGCAAAAAGGCAAUGGCAGCAGCAUGAACAGCUUACAUUGUGGGAGAAUCCCUGUUUGAAGAUAAGGAUGUGCACGGAACAGGUGGGGGCCGGUUUGAAGGCAGAAGGGAAGGUGUGCACAUGUCGGGGUGUGUGCGCACGAGUGCAGUGUGCGCAAACACGCGGAGUACUUCCUGUCACUUCUGGUCCAACAAGAGAACAGUAGGGGUGUGCAAAUCGGCUCGACGUCAAACGGGUCCCACUCCUCCCUAUUUUCUUGAUUAUCUCCCUCAUUCUGGGGGCCACUGGGGAGAAGGGCAACCACAGCCUCCCUCUCCCCUAGCUACACCCCUGUUGCAGAUGUAAACACCCAAUUUUGUCUAUGUUGCAUAGAAGCCUUCAGGUUCUUUAAGGGAAUGUGGUGCACUGUGCAAAGUGGUUUGUUCCAUCAUAACUAUACAGUGCUAGCACCACACAGAUAAAUAUGAAAGGUAAAAUGGAGAUAAUCAGGAUGAAAGGAAGAGAGAAUGCUGUCCUCCAAUUUCUUUAGAGAACUAUACCAGUGAUAUAAAGCAGCAAGAGAGGUGGAGUUACUACAAGCAGCAAUAUGCUUCUCUACAUGUAGUCAAUUUCAUAUGCUACCUCCUCCGUCCUGCCUGUGCAGUGCUGGCACAUGGUAAACUUGCACCGUUGAAAUCAAAGGCUCAGGUGUCCACAUAUUUUAGAUAUUAUAUGGGUUCGCUGAACUGAAAAUAUUCAACAUGUUUCUGCUUUCUUGACAGAAGUACAUUAUUUCAUGCACCAGUGAGAUUCUCACUCUGAAAUCAAAUAGUCUAGCCAAACUGAGGGAAAAACCCUUGAAUAUGGAUAUGUCUUUUCUGGGUUGGACUAGCUGUUAUAAGUUUCAGUAAUAAUACCCUAGUUUGGUUGCACUGUGUUCUAUUAGCUUCCAUGUUCAGUUCAAAAUGCUGAUGAUCCCCUUUAAGUCCCUGAUGGUCUGGAAGCCUGAAUAAAUUGAGAGCCUUAUGAACUUUGUCACAUAUUCAUAUCCAGGGAGGAAAUAUUGCUUCAUGGCCCAUCCUUUAAAGAUAUGAGAGCUGCAGAAUAGGGCUAUGCCCCCACUCCGCAACCCCCUCCCCCAAAAAAGUCAGAAUUGCUUUUGAAAAUGUGGUGGAGAAAAUGAGGGGGCAUUUUGGAUCAGUCUUAGUACAAAGUAACCCAUGAAAUGAUUAUAUCAGGGCACAUUUCCAUUAAAAAGUGAGCAUCAAUAAAGGAACAGGAAUUUCGAUUGUGAUUAUGCUGGCGAGAGUUCUGUUGUGUAUAACACAUACAGAUUCUUAUAUAUCCUUAACACUGACAUGAGACACUGGUUUAAAAAAGAACAAAAACCUGGAAUUUGUAUCCUAGCAUAAAAUACAUUGUGAGAGUUACAGCUCUAACUCGGCCAUGUUUCAUUUCAAGCUCUGUGCAUGUGCAUUGAUUUCAUACUGCGCACUACACUCAAUUUAUUUGU